AUCAAGCUUAUCGAUACCGUCCACAUACGGUAGAAAUUCCGUAGCCUCCGAAGAUUUAAGCACAGGGACACUUUUGAAGGGCUGAGCCGGGCGUUGGUUGCCCCGGUCGAAAGGGACACGAUUGAGUGGAAGUCAGUUUGGAAAGAGGCGAGAAAAGCUGUGUGUAUAUGAAAGGAGCCCGUACCGCAAACCGACACAGGUAGACAGGAAGAAGAUUCUAAGGCCAGCGGGAGAAGGGUUGUUAAGGAACUCGGCAAGUUGACCCCGUAACUUCGGGAGAAGGGGUGCUUACGAAGGUAAGCCGCAGAGAAUAGGCCCAAGCGACUGUUUAGCAAAAACACAGCUCUAUGCUAAAUCGAAAGAUGACGUAUAUGGGGUGACACCUGCCCGGUGCUGGAAGGUUAAGAGGAGAUGUGAGAGCAUUGAAUUGAAGCCCCAGUAAACGGCGGCCGUAACUAUAACGGUCCUAAGGUAGCGAAAUUCCUUGUCAGGUAAGUUCUGACCCGCACGAAAGGUGUAACGAUCUGGGCACUGUCUCAACAACCCGCCCGGCGAAAUUGUAGUACCGGUGAAGAUGCCGGUUACCCGCGACUAGACGGAAAGACCCCAUGGAGCUUUACUGUAGCCUAAUAUUGGAUUUCGGUAUUUCACGUACAGGAUAGGUGGGAGACUGGGAAGCACAGGCGUCAGCUUGUGUGGAGUCGACCUUGGGAUACCACUCUUGGAGUGCUGGAAUUCUAACCUGCGGCUUUGAAGCAAGUCGGGGGACAUUGUUAGGUGGGCAGUUUGACUGGGGCGGUCGCCUCCUAAAGAGUAACGGAGGCGUUCAAAGGUUCGCUCAGCUUGAACGGAAAUCAAGCAAAAGAGUGCAAACGCAGAAGCGAGCCUAACUGCGAGACUGACGGGUCGAGCAGUAACGAAAGUUGGAGUUAGUGAUCCGGCGGUAUGUGAGUGGAAAUGCCGUCGCUCAACGGAUAAAAGCUACCCUGGGGAUAACAGGCUGAUCUCCCCCAAGAGUCCACAUCGACGGGGAGGUUUGGCACCUCGAUGUCGGCUCAUCGCAUCCUGGGGCUGUAUUCGGUCCCAAGGGUUUGGCUGUUCGCCAAUUAAAGCGGUACGCGAGCUGGGUUCAGAACGUCGUGAGACAGUUCGGUCCCUAUCUGUCGUGGGCGUAGGAUAUUUGCAAGGAGCUGUCCCUAGUACGAGAGGACCGGGAUGGACGCACCUCUGGUGCACCAGUUGUCACGCCAGUGGCACAGCUGGGCAGCUAUGUGCGGAACGGAUAAACGCUGAAGGCAUCUAAGCGUGAAGCCGCCCUUAAGAUAAGAUAUCCCUUCUGUUUACAGAGUAAGACCCCUUGAAGACUACAAGGUUGAUAGGCUCAAAGUGUAAGCACGGUGACGUGUUUAGCUAGCGAGUACUAAUCGGUCGAGGGCUUAACCU
rnacentral:rRNA from 1 species